rnacentral:rRNA from 1 species
GAUGAACGCUGGCGGCGUGCCUAAUACAUGCAAGUCGAGCGAACAGACGAGGAGCUUGCUCCUCUGACGUUAGCGGCGGACGGGUGAGUAACACGUGGAUAACCUACCUAUAAGACUGGGAUAACUUCGGGAAACCGGAGCUAAUACCGGAUAAUAUAUUGAACCGCAUGGUUCAAUAGUGAAAGACGGUUUUGCUGUCACUUAUAGAUGGAUCCGCGCCGCAUUAGCUAGUUGGUAAGGUAACGGCUUACCAAGGCAACGAUGCGUAGCCGACCUGAGAGGGUGAUCGGCCACACUGGAACUGAGACACGGUCCAGACUCCUACGGGAGGCAGCAGUAGGGAAUCUUCCGCAAUGGGCGAAAGCUUGACCGAGCAACGCCGCGUGAGUGAUGAAGGUCUUCGGAUCGUAAAACUCUGUUAUUAGGGAAGAACAAAUGUGUAAGUAACUAUGCACGUCUUGACGGUACCUAAUCAGAAAGCCACGGCUAACUACGUG